rnacentral:rRNA from 1 species
GAGAGUGGAAUUCCAUGUGUAGCGGUGAAAUGCGUAGAUAUAUGGAGGAACACCAGUGGCGAAAGCGGCUCUCUGGUCUGUCACUGACGCUGAGGCUCGAAAGCGUGGGUAGCGAACAGGAUUAGAUACCCUGGUAGUCCACGCCGUAAACGAUGAGUGCUAGGUGUUAGGCCCUUUCCGGGGCUUAGUGCCGGAGCUAACGCAAUAAGCACUCCGCCUGGGGAGUACGACCGCAUGGUUGAAACUCAAAGGAAUUGACGGGGGCCCGCACAAGCGGUGGAGCAUGUGGUUUAAUUCGAAGCAACGCGAAGAACCUUACCAGGUCUUGACAUCCCGAUGCUAUUCUUAGAGAUAGGAAGUUACUUCGGUACAUCGGAGACAGGUGGUGCAUGGUUGUCGUCAGCUCGUGUCGUGAGAUGUUGGGUUAAGUCCCGCAACGAGCGCAACCCUUAUUGUUAGUUGCCAUCAUUAAGUUGGGCACUCUAGCGAGACUGCCGGUAAUAAACCGGAGGAAGGUGGGGAUGACGUCAAAUCAUCAUGCCCCUUAUGACCUGGGCUACACACGUGCUACAAUGGUCGGUACAACGAGUUGCGAGCCGGUGACGGCAAGCUAAUCUCUGAAAGCCGAUCUCAGUUCGGAUUGGAGGCUGCAACUCGCCUCCAUGAAGUCGGAAUCGCUAGUAAUCGCGGAUCAGCACGCCGCGGUGAAUACGUUCCCGGGCCUUGUACACACCGCCCGUCGCACCACGAGAGUUUGUAACACCCGAAGUCGGUGAGGUAACCUUUUAGGGGCCAG